GCGCCCUUAGCUCAGUUGGAUAGAGCGGCGGCCUUCUAAGCCGCAGGUCGGAGGUUCGAGUCCUCCAGGGCGCGCCA
rnacentral:tRNA from 1 species